GCCACCAAGACCUGUAAAACUCUCAUUUACAUCACCUAACUGCAACUUAGCCACUUUAACUUAAGCUAAGGCCU
rnacentral:tRNA from 3 species